GCAAGGUCGAGGGGCGAUCGGAGGGAGCUUGCUUCCUUGCCGGCGACCGGCGCACGGGUGAGUAACACGUAUGCAACCUGCCCUCUUCAGGGGGACGAACCGUUCCGAAAGGGAGGCUAAUCCCGCGUAUAUCGUUUCGGGCGAUCCGAGAUCGAGGAAAGAUUCAUCGGAAGAGGAUGGGCAUGCGGCGCAUUAGCUUGACGGCGGGGUAACGGCCCACCGUGGCGACGAUGCGUAGGGGUUCUGAGAGGAAGGUCCCCCACACUGGUACUGAGACACGGACCAGACUCCCACGGGAGGCAGCAGUGAGGAAUAUUGGUCAAUGGGAGAGAUCCUGAACCAGCCAAGCCGCGUGAGGGAAGACGGCCCUAUGGGUUGUAAACCUCUUUUGUCGGAGAACAGAACCCGGGACGUGUCCCGGACUGCGUGUAUCCGAAGAAAAAGCAUCGGCUAACUCCGUG
rnacentral:rRNA from 1 species